rnacentral:lncRNA from 1 species
CUGGAAUCCACCUAAGAGAAAAAAAGGAACGGAGUCUGUUGGAUAGGCAUCAGUGUAGGAGCCCAGAUCAUUAAAAAUGAUUAGACUAUCUAGUGCAAAUAAAAAAACACUGCUUGUUGCUUAGCUUUAAUCCAAGAAAGAAUAAUGUAAAUCAUCACUCCAUAACAUUCCUACUUGUCUGUGCAUAAAUCAUUACUCCAUAACAUUCCUACUUGUCUGUGCACGAAAAAACAUAAACAGAAGAUAAUCUGUAGCAUUACAACCACUAGGAGGAUGCAAAGCAUACUGACAACUGAGAAGCAAUCAAUACCUCUGAGGUGACUUUUAGGCAAAUUGAUAGUGUUAGGGAUAGCACUUGUAUUCGUAAUAGGGGCACUAGGCCCAAAUAUAUACAGGUAUAGGAAGGGGGAAAUAUACACAAAACCCCCUAAUACAAAAGGGAAAAUAUCAAUAGUACAUAUACAUCUAACACCCCCCUCAAACUCAUGGUGGGUCAAAAACACUGAGUUUGGAGAGAUAAAAUCUGUGCUAAACGCGGGUCUGUGCCUUUGUAAAGAAAUUAGCCAACUGCAACUCUGAAGGCACAUACUGAAGAGCAAUAACCCCAUCCUGAACCUGUGAUCGUGUAUAAGAAACAAACACACCAAUAUGCUUAGUAAGCUCAUGCUUCACCGGAUCACGGGCAAUACUGAUAGCACCUGUACUGUCAGACAAAAGAGGAGUUGGCACAGAAACUGAAACACCAAAAUCCUCAAGCAACCACCGUAACCAAGUCACCUCUGCCGUCACAAGCGCCAUAGCAUGCAACUCAGCCUCAGCACUCGAACGAGAAACUGCUACAUGCUUCUUAGUCUUCCAAGCAAUAAGGGAACCACCAAGAAAAACACAAUAGGCAGAAAGAGAUCGACGAUCAGAGGGAUCACUAGCCUAGGUAGCAUCACAAUAUGCCUGGAGAUGUAAGGAGCUAGAGCGUGGAAAUAAUAGACGGCGUGAAAGAGUCCCACGAAGGUACCCUAUGAAGAAUGAUCACCUCGGCGAGACUAAGCCUCACGAGACUAAGCCUUCUUCUUCCUGUAACAAUAUACCUCCACAUGGUUAUCCUUGCCACACCAGUCACAUUUAAGAGCUCCACCCCCUCCACUCUCAGAAGAAGGCACCAUAGUUGGAGGAACAACAGGUCAAGUGGAGGAGCUGGCGGCCAAAACUGAAGAGUACCGCAACAAUCCACCAGCAAGAAAGCGAGUCUCCUCAUUACGAACAGCAGCAAGAGCCUCCAUCAGAGACACAAGGAUGUCGAGAAAGCAGCUGUGCACGAAGUGGCUCAAACUCAUCCCGGAGACGUGUCAAGAAGUCGUAGGUGCGGCGAAGCUCAAGGGCCUGUUGCUGACCCAGGCAAGACUGAAAGUGCUAGGUGACAACUGAGAACCAAGAGUGUCAAUCUGGCGCCAAAUAGCAAAAAUCUGAGCAUAGAAGUCAUCAACUGUACCAUCACCCUGUCGAAUAAGCUACUCUUAACGAAUGGCUGCAAGAAAGGUAGACUGACCAGUGGGCUCAUAGCGCUUACGAAGAAAGGCCCACAUGAGAUGUGCAAAAUCAAGCUCAACAAUAUCAGCCGAAAACCUGUCCUCCAGUCUAGCAACAAGAAUAGAAGCAGCUCGAGCAUCCUCAUCAACCCAUAUCGUGUAUGCAGUAAACUGAGACUCAUACGAUGCAAGAUCAUCAUAAUCAGCAAGCAGCUUCACCACGUCCGCAUCAUAAGCAACAAGCAACUAAUCCAACUCCACCUUCUCUUCAACCGUAGCCUUAGGAAUCACCGGGUAUGUAGGAGCAGUGGGACAAGGUGGGCAAGGCAACACGCUAGUCAGAAACUCGCAAAGACGAAGACCAUGCAUAUGAAUCUGUAGACGAGGAACCCAAUCUCGAUAGUUGGUGCCAUUGAUCAGCACUGGACAACGUAACACUGGGACACCACUAGACGAAGUAGCCGAAGAAGGAGCCAUGGUGACGGCGAGAGCGCAAGUAGAGCAGUGGCGGGCGACGGCGAGAGCGCAGAGGAACAAUGGCGCAAGCAUUUUUUUUGUUUUUUUCUUUCUUUUCUUUUUUUCUACAGAGCCCUCAUCCUCAGAGGUCAGACUCGUUUUAACCAAACGAGCACGGGCGGACGGACGGCGAGCGCACGGGCGGUCCAACGGAUGUCGGCGCGGGCAGGCGAUCCGGCGGUCGUCGGUGCAAGCGGGUGGGAGAUCCGGCGGGCGGCCGGAUGAGCGGCGGCAACAAGCCGCAGGCGCGGCGCUGGGGCGACGACGAGACGGGAGGCCAAGGCGGGCGAGCGGGAGGACGGCGGUGACGGCCGAGUACUGGCAGCGGCAUGUCACACCAUCAGGCAGGGGCGAAGGCGUCCUCAACGGCGAAGAGAACAGAGCCGAUCUCAACAAGAGGAUCGACGAGGAAAUAGCACGCAAGUGCAACGUGCAAAGGGGAAAAGAAGGAACCCUAGGGCAGAUUGAGAAGAAACCUAACCCUAGUUUGGCUCUGUACCAUGUUAGAAAUAGCACUUAUAUUCAUAAUAGGAGCACUAGGCCCAAAUAUAUACAGGUACAGGAAGGGGUAAAUAUAA